rnacentral:rRNA from 1 species
UACGUAGGGGGCAAGCGUUGUCCGGAUUUAUUGGGCGUAAAGAGCGUGUAGGCGGUUUGGUAGGUCCGUUGUGAAAACUCGAGGCUCAACCUCGAGACGCCGAUGGAAACCAUCAGACUAGAGUCCGGAAGAGGAGAGUGGAAUUCCUGGGUGUAGCGGUGAAAUGCGCAGAUAUCAGGAGGAACACCUAUAGCGAAGGCAGCUCGCUGGGACGACACUGACGCUGAGACGCGAAAGCGUGGGGAGCGAACAGG